rnacentral:piRNA from 2 species
ACAUCAUAGGGCUUUCUCUGCCAUUGCCUU